rnacentral:rRNA from 1 species
GACGGAGGAUGCAAGCGUUAUCCGGAAUGAUUGGGCGUAAAGCGUCCGCAGGUGGCAGUUCAAGUCUGCUGUCAAAGACCGGGGCUUAACUUCGGAAAGGCAGUGGAAACUGAACAGCUAGAGUAUGGUAGGGGCAGAGGGAAUUCCUGGUGUAGCGGUGAAAUGCGUAGAGAUCAGGAAGAACAUCGGUGGCGAAGGCGCUCUGCUGGACCAUAACUGACACUCAGGGACGAAAGCUAGGCGAGCGAAUGGG